UACGUAGGGGGGCAAGCGUUGUCCGGAAUCAUUGGGCGUAAAGAGCGCGUAGGCGGUCCGAUAAGUCGGCUGUGAAAGUCAGGGGCUCAACCCUUGAAAGCCGGCCGAUACUGUCGGACUAGAGUCCGGAAGAGGCAAGUGGAAUUCCCGGUGUAGAGGUGAAAUUCGUAGAUAUCGGGAGGAACACCAGUGGCGAAGGCGGCACUCUGGGCCGGAACUGACGCUGAGGAGCGAAAGCGUGGGGAGCGAACAGG
rnacentral:rRNA from 1 species